rnacentral:tRNA from 1 species
GAUAAGUUGGCAGAUUAGUGCAAUUGAUUUAGAUUCAAUAAAUGAGUUAUUCACUUAUUA